UGUCCUACGGGGGGCAGCAGUGGGGAAUAUUGCACAAUGGGGGAAACCCUGAUGCAGCGACGCCGCGUGAGCGAUGAAGUAUUUCGGUAUGUAAAGCUCUAUCAGCAGGGAAGAAAAUGACGGUACCUGACUAAGAAGCCCCGGCUAACUACGUGCCAGCAGCCGCGGUAAUACGUAGGGGGCAAGCGUUAUCCGGAUUUACUGGGUGUAAAGGGAGCGUAGACGGUCCUGCAAGCCAGAUGUGAAAGCCCGGGGCUCAACUCCGGGACUGCUUUUGAAACUGUGUUGCUAGAUUGCAGGAGAGG
rnacentral:rRNA from 1 species